rnacentral:lncRNA from 1 species
CAAGGUAGGUGGGUGAGGUAAGCUGCGAGCUGCUAGUGGGAUGCAGCCCUAUGGCCAGGGUUGCCCGUGCCAGUGUGACUUUGCUGGGAAGAGGCGGCAUGUUCUGAGCUCUGCAGACAUUGAAGCAAGUGAAGGCCCUAGCUGCCUGAGAAGAGCAGAGUUGUCCCAAGGGGACCAUGCUGAAGUUUCUCAUGUGGACCAAAGUCAGCACCAGGCAGGGCCAAAGCAGGGGUUCUGUGAAGCCAUCCUGGGACUCUGGCAUCUAUGAGUGAGCGGCCAGAAAAGGCAGAGACACCAGAAGAGAGGAGCAGAGGCGCCCAGAACAUGCUGUCUCACAGUACCAGCCCCAGGCAGGGCCAGCUCAGAGUGUGGUGAGCAGAACCGUCCUGAUGUUCCAAGAUCCAGGAGGUGGAGGUGGCAGUAGCUCCUGACCCCACUGCUUUGGAGCCUGCCCAGUUGGGUUUGGGAGCUGACCAGGGUCCUGACUUACAGCACAUUGGUGACCAGAAGACGACCAAAGGGAGAGGCGCUGAAGACCUUCCGGCAUGGGCUGGGCAGCAGUUCAGUUGCAGGAGAAACAGCCCGAGUGUGGAGAGGUGGCCGUCCUCUGCAGGAUGCUUUGUAAAGAACCCAAGAAAUCAACGUAGAGCUUCUUCUAUCUGAUUCUCUCACAGCUGUAAACCUUCCACGAGUUAAGCUUUGUGUCAAAAUGACAAAUUAAAAGGACCUAUAAAAGGCACCCCCCAGCCCAAUGGACAGAUGCCCCAGGCUGCACAUUCUGUCAGUGCUGUUCUCCAAGAGGCCCAGACACAUGCUGAAACAUGGAAGGAAACAAGCCAGCCCUCUGGAACCACCACGAGCCUGGAGCACCCAAGGCCCCACAUGCCCCCAAAUCCAGCCUGCCCCCUCCCCAUCCGGUGCGGUGGUCCUCAGACACCAGUGGCAGCCCUGCCACACCCCCCAAAGCCAAGAGCACCAGCAGCAGGGGCUUCCUCACUCCAUCCAAUGACUUCCUGCCACCGCCCCGACUCCUCCAGGCCACCACCUGGGGUCACCAAGACACCUUGUAUGUCCCCUCAAGAGGCACGAAGCAUCAAUGUUCAGAAGCAGCAAAUGAAUAAAAGUUAAACGUUCUUCCUGAACAUGGUAUUUCUAGAAAGAUUAUUGGGUCACUCUAUCUUGAGGUAACAAUAUCAUUAAAAAUAGCUUUCCCCAUCCCAUGCCUUCUGAAGUCUUGGUGACCUUAGAAAGAUUUUCCAUCUCUAUCUCUGUGACCUUCAGAUUUCCCAGAAAAUUGAGAGGAAAACGAGAAAACAUGACAAGCAGAGGCUGUUCCCUUUCUCUGAGAUCCUUUUGCUUGAUCGAUUGGAGUCCUGGACAUGGGCUGUUUUGGUUUUGUUUUUUUAACGCUUGAAUAGUAAUUGAAAAAAAUUAUUUAGUUUUUGAAUUCUGUAUGAUUACAAUGCUAUAAAUAUCCUUUACAUAAGAAUGUAGGGGCAAGAAAAGGCAAUCUUAUCUAUAUAUUUCAGUCUGGAAUGUUUUCCCUUAGAGAUACAUUUAAUGCCCAAUUUAUCCUUGGAUCUUGCAACUUAUAUCUCUUCUCUUUCAAUUUGGCUUCUGAUGGGCUAAAAUGCUAUUUUCUUAGUUUUCUUUCCAGGGCUCUGUUUUUGUUUUUUGUGGGUUUUUUUUUUUUUUAAGUGUAAAACUCCUCAAAAUCUUAAAGUCAGUGUGUGACUUUAAGAAUCAAAAUGUGACUUUCCAAUCAAAAUGGAGUCACUCAUGUUAAAAAAAACACUGACAGAAAGAACCAGGCAAAAUCUUAAUGUUUUUUUAAAAUUAAGGAAGAUAAUUAAUGGUAUGUUUUAGUAUUUGGGAAGAG